CAAAAUAAAUACUGCUUUAUUGUGCAGAAUACAAAAAAUGUCGACGUUUCAGUCACAAUAGACUUUUCUCAAGACCUUGAGAAAAGUCUAUUGUGACUGAAACGUCGACAUUUUUUGUAUUCUGCACAAUAAAGCAGUAUUUAUUUUGAUAUAAAACGAAGACUCCAGAGUGCUCUCUACUU
rnacentral:sRNA from 1 species